rnacentral:rRNA from 1 species
UACGUAGGGUGCGAGCGUUAAUCGGAAUUACUGGGCGUAAAGUGUGCGCAGGUGGCCGCGCAAGUCGAGUGUGAAAUCCCCGGGCUUAACCUGGGAACUGCGUUUGAAACUGGGAGGCUAGAGUGUGGAAGAGGGGGGUGGAAUUCCAGGUGUAGCAGUGAAAUGCGUAGAGAUCUGGAGGAACACCGAUGACGAAGGCAGCCCCCUGGGCUGACACUGACGCUCAUGCACGAAAGCGUGGGGAGCAAACAGG